CGAGUAGGCGGACCUGCAAGUCAGAUGUGAAAUCCCCGGGCUUAACCCGGGAACUGCAUUCUAAACUGUGUGACUAGAGUAUUGCAGGGGGAGGACGGAAUUUCAGGUGUAGCGGUGGAAUGCGUAGAUAUCUGAAAGAACACCAAAGGCGAAGGCAGUCUCCUGGGCAAAUACUGACGCUCAUAUGCGAAAGCGUGGGUAGCAAACA
rnacentral:rRNA from 1 species